GACGAACGCUGGCGGCGUGCCUAAUACAUGCAAGUCGAACGCAGUGGGGACGGGUGAGUAACACGUUGGUAACCUCCCAUCAGAGGGGAUAACACUUGGAAACAGGUGCUAAACCGAUACUGAUGGAUGGAGCCGCGGUGCAUUAGCUUGUUGGGGGGGUAACGGCUCACCAAGGCCACGAUGCAUAGCCGGCCUGGGAGGUGGAUCGGCCCAACUGGGACUGAGACACGGCCCAGCCUCCUACGGGAGGAGGCAGUAGGGAAUCUUCGGCAAUGGAGGAAAGCCUGACCGAGCAACGCCGCGUGAGUGAAGAAGGUUUUCGGUUCGUAAAACUCUGUUGUUAGGGAAGCGGUAUCGAACCAGAAAGCCACGGCUAACUACGUGCCAGCCGCCGCGGUAAUAC
rnacentral:rRNA from 1 species